rnacentral:rRNA from 1 species
ACUCCUACGGGAGGCAGCAGUAAGGAAUAUUGCGCAAUGGGCGAAAGCCUGACGCAGCGACGCCGCGUGGGGGAUGAAGGUCUUCGGAUUGUAAACCCCUUUCGGGAGGGAAGAUGGAGCGAGCAAUCGUUCGGACGGUACCUCCAGAAGCAGCCACGGCCAACUUCGUGCCAGCAGCCGCGGUAAUACGAAGGUGGCAAGCGUUGUUCGGAUUCACUGGGCGUACAGGGUGUGUAGGCGGUCUGGUAAGCUUUCUGUUAAAGCUUCGGGCCCAACCCGNAAAGCGCAGAGGGUACUGCCAGGCUAGAGGGUGGGAGAGGAAAAGGGGAAUUCCCG